UUGAAACUCCAAAAGAAAAAAACUAAUGUAUAGUUCAAACAUUCAAACACUAAAAUAUAAAUAUUAGUAGUGGCUAAACAUACAAAACAUUAUGUCAAAAUUAGAAAUUCACUAAAUAUCUAUAUUCCCUAGUAUAUGAUGUUGCUUCAUGAUAUUUAAUUAGUGCUAGCCUGACUCAGAACACCUACCUCUCGACUGUUCUUAUUCAGUUACCUGAAAAAAUAUAAGUAUAUAUUAGGAUACUUAAACAAAUGAACAAAAUUGCGCAGACGAACACAAAUUAUUAUAAUGCCGAAGUGCCUCAAGAGAUUAAGUCAAGUUUAUGGUUUCA
rnacentral:lncRNA from 1 species